AUGGCCGGUUGGGGAUGGUCAGUUCCAUCACACUGCGAGGAGAUGAUUCAUGGUCAGUCGGGGAUGGUCACCUGCGGUGAGCACGAGUACCUCCUCCAUAUCCUCCCUAUACUAGCACCCUUGGCGAUGAAAAUGACAGCCAGGAGAAUCCCUCCUUCACACAUCUUUUCCAUCUCUGUCAGAUUGUCCUCUCCAGCAAGCCCGAAGGCCAACCUUAAUACUGGACCUCGAAAGGGGCAUGUGGCCAACCAUGCCGGAGGACGCAGAGGGUUGUUUGGGAAUGUUAUCAUGAGAGGACCCAAGAAGCAACCCACCACGGAUGCAUGGACCAACCACGCAAGUCCAUUCUUGCAAUCCAUCUGUGGCGAGGGUUCAUGA
rnacentral:rRNA from 1 species